UGUUGUGUUAGGAAAUGCAGCUUACCGACUUAGAAAGUGUUGACGUUGCAGUGAAGUUUACGCAUGCGCGAAGUUUAAUACGAUUUACAUGGAAACGUUAAUAUGUCAGAUGACUGGUCUCUGUUGUUUCCCAGGACACGAAGCCAGCGAGGGGAGUGCUGUCCAGUAAAAAGCUCGGCAAGAGGGCCAAUAAAAAGGUUUCCUCUCAUCCGGCCGCCAAUAAACCGGUCCUCGGGUUCCUUUCACACGGAAUUAUUCCAUCCAGCCGACAUCGAGCGUGCCUCGCUACGAGCACAG